ensembl:lncRNA
GAGAAAACAAGUGUACCGUGAUUUGAUCUGUAUCUGUGUUUGGCAAGCUUUAGGUUUUACUCAUUGACUCAGGAAUAAGUAUCUAACGUGUAACUGGAGAGAAGAGGAAAUGAUAAUAUCAACAUUCAUGUCCACACGGGUGCUGAAUGACUGCAGCGGCAUUAGUGGGACCAGUUGAGACCAGUCGGACUCCCCCUGCACUGCAGGCUUCAUUGAAGAGAUUGGAUAUGAGGAGAAGAGCGAGCCUCCGUCUGCCUGAAAUGCGCUCAUUUUGAAGCUACAGGCAGGCCCAUACGUUUUUGGACAGUUAUACCUUUCGUCUGUGUUUGUUUUUGUAAUUUUGCAUCUGCAUUCGUGGAUUUUAAUAGAAUAGAAAAAUAUGGUCGAUCCGGUAAUAUCUCACUGAAUGAUAUCCAUCCACACCUGCCCCCCCCGGCUUCACUGCUUGGAACCUCAGGAUCAGUCCUCACUGGACCCACCACGACCACAACCACUACAGCCUAGACCUUCCCCUCAAGCUCACUCCACCUGCAAAUAGUUUUCAGGGCGCUCAACGAUGUCCAGAGAAUGAGCCGUGUUUGGUGAGGAAAUCAAUGGCUGCACCCGUUAGACUCUUCUGUCAUUCUUGAUGCCAAGUGCUGCUACACACUGAUACAGUAGCUUCUGUGGAGAAGAUUGCAUGAACAACACAAAGG